UACAGAGGGUGCAAGCGUUGUUCGGAAUUAUUGGGCGUAAAGGGCGCGUAGGCGGCCUGAUAAGUAGGGGGUGAAAUCUUGCGGCUCAACCGCAAGGCUGCCUUCUAAACUGUCAGGCUGGAGCACGGUAGAGGCAGAUGGAAUUCCCGGUGUAGCGGUGGAAUGCGUAGAGAUCGGGAAGAACACCAGUGGCGAAGGCGGUCUGCUGGGCCGUUGCUGACGCUGAGGCGCGACAGCGUGGGGAGCAAACAGG
rnacentral:rRNA from 1 species